rnacentral:sRNA from 1 species
UCAGAGCCCUGGAAACUGAUGUCCUCUCUAUCCACAGAGCAGGUAAAGCAGAAGCAGCAGCAGUGCCAGCUUCCCAACACUGCCCUCUUAUCAUGCCUCAAACUUGAUUUGAAGGGACCAUCUGUAAAGGCUAGAGGGGUGUUCCCUCUGAGCUGUAGACUGACUGCC